CAGCUAGUCAUGCCAAAAAGGCCUGUGAUACAUCAAAAUGCACAACUCCCUUGGUUCCUCUUUGAACCCUGGCCAGUUUUGGGGGGGGAAACCAACAGGAGAAAGAGAAAACCUGAUGUUCUACUUGACUGUCGCAUAGAUUUGUUUAUUCAGUGGACUUUAGAGACCUCAACUACAAAGUGGAUGCACUGCUGUAGGGCUUCCCAAUUGCCAAGACAGGUUCUCCAAAUCCUCGCUGCAACUGGGGCACCACAACGACUGUGGAUCUGGAUGACGAAAGAAAGUGGUCACAUUUAUUGAAGUUGAGAAUCACAGUAUUACUUCUGACUGAAUAAAAAGGAUCAAAGCAGGCUUUGUACUAUAACUAUCAUGUUUUAUGGCAGAAAAAAAUGAAGCUAAAAUAUUUUUCCCAGUAUUGAAGGCUCUCUGACCUGCCUGAAAGCCAGGUAAGACUCCUAAAGGUAGUUGCCAAAAUUAGCUUCUCUUCAUUAAAUAUUUCCUUUUUGUUGGAGUGGCUAAUCCUAACUUCUCCAGGAGCAUGCUCAUAAUUGUGUCUAAUCAUUCUUAACAGCUUUUCACAAAAGAGUAAAGUGCUUUUCACAUAAGAGUAAUGAGUAAAAAAGAGUUACUAAUACAGCUCUUUUUUUCCUUUUUCAUUAACUUGAUCUCUCAGUGUAUUAUUGUAACUGAACUAAUUACUAACCUUUGCUGUAUUUUAUCAUAAAGUUAAGCUUGAAGUAGACUGUUCCCCAUUUAUUUUGUUUUAAGUCUUCUUAUAGAUAUUUCAGUUUCAAACAGAUCUUCUUCUUCCAACAGAGGAUGAGUCUGCUACAAGAAGCUGCUGAAAUGAUGCAAAGAAUUAAGUUCAUUUAUCUUAACACUGCUUUUAUGAUUCAAUACAGAUUCUGUAGCAGUUUUCCUGUUCCAAACAUGUCUGAGAACAGAUUUAUUAAUAAUUUUGACUCCAUUUGCUAUCUGAUCCUCAAACUGCCGUUUGGUCUGCCUUAUUACUUUUGCUUUUUUUAUCUUCUGAAAUUUGUAAUUCUCUCCCCUGUCUGCAUUCAGACACUGAAUCAGUUUUUCAGAGAAAAUCUUCCUUCUAACAAUGGCUUGUUGUUUAGCUGCAUUAGUUGUGUUUCACCUUUUCCCUUGUCUUUCACACUUGGUCAUAUACCCUGUAAGUAUUUGGUGUUUAAAUGGUGAAGAUUUUUCAAAGAAUUUCCUGUAAUCUGUUAGACUGUGAUUCAGUAAUACAGGUGCACAAAUUUGUACAGUACAAGAUUGGUCCUAUUUACUUCACUAGAAGCACUUACAUUUAAUUCUAAGUCGAAACUAAGCCUGGCUUCUCAUUCUCUGCCUAUAGAGAAAUACCUGUCAUUUCAUUUAAGUGUUCAUUUAAAUGGUAAAUAUCCCAAAGUAUGACGAAUCCAGUAAAUUAUCUACAGGUAAUUGUUAGAAAAGCUUUUGUUUUCUGUUGUAUAAUUAAAAUAAAAAAUGGCUGCAUGACAUCUCUUACUGUCAUUCAGGAAGGAUAAUAAAAUGAGGUAGAAAUGCAUAAAGAUUAUUUGAUGACCCUUCAUAGCUGUUUUCUAAGAUCUCUUUCUCUAUUCUGCUAACACCGUGGAGACUUACUGACUUGUGCAGAUGUCGGUUGAAAUAUUACAGAUUAGAUUGGAUGCAUUCUUAGCAUGACUUUUUAGCACCUUUUAGUACCUUCAGCAUAUUUUAGCACCUUUUCUCGCAGUUAAGAUAUGCAGCUACAAUUGAAACUCAGGUUAAAGAAAACUUUGCAUUAUUUUUUACUACUACUAAUAAAGCUAAUUUAUGGGGUCUGCUGCUGUCAACAAUCAUGUAUUGUAGAUUCAUUAUUAUACCAGAUCCUGCUUUUGAGAAAACAUUCCUUUCAAAUUAAUAUUCAGAAAUCCCCCAGUUCUCUUUUUCAAAUGAUGAUGUCUUGGUGUCACCUCUAAACAAUUCUUUAUAGAUUGAUGGAAAAUAACAAAAAACAAUAAAAUAAGCUAUUCAGAAAGAAAGCUCUAUUUCACUAAAAUUUGUUUGUUGUAAAAGAAUCCAGGUAGACCUAGUAUGUCAGAGUUUGAAAACUGAUCAGUAAUGUGUUUCUUUACAACUAUUGUUGCCUCUGAAUUAAGUGACCUAAAAUAGAUUUACAAGCAAUUGCUGAGAUAACAAUAAACAGAUAUCAUAAAUAUAGUAGAAUUUUCAAUAUUUUUGAUUACACAGACUAAAUCUUCUUCCUGGUUGCUGGAUUACUAGCUAAAACUCUGUCUCUACUUUUUCUAUCUUGAAGCAGUUUACCAAUUGAAAACAUCUGACUGCAUUGCCUGACCUAUAAAAUCCAGGUCUGAAAAACAUUCUCUGAACUUCCUGUUUAAAUCUAUACUGUGAAGGUUUGACAACUUGAUGGACAUAUUUAAAUAGUACUAGUACAAUACAUACAUUUCACAGCUCUUUUUUUCAUCUGUUUCUCUUUCUUGGGCAAUUUCAUAUAAAUGCCAGUGUCAUUUCUACUCUCCAACUACCAAGAUGUAUGGUAGAUGAGAUAUCUUUGCCUGUAUAUUUUCUAAAAUGCAUUUUUAUGUAGAAGUGAUGGUUAAGAUUGCUUUCUGCAGUAAUUUUUAUGUAGUGCUAUACUCAAAUCAAACCAUUUCAAGUGUUCUGAAACUUUCUUUUCCAAUACAAAAAUAGAUUACUAGUUUGUAUUUUCUUUGAAUAUGCAAGGAUUUGUAUAUAAAUGCACAUGUAUAUAUAUAAGAAUGAAGAGCUUAUUUGCCAUCUUUAACAGAUUUAUUUCUUACAUUUAUUAAAAUAACAUUUGUUUCUCCUGUGUAGCAAAGUGGCUGGAUUGAGUGAAUUUAGGUUCAUUUAGGCUAAGGGAAAAACUGCAACUCUGAAUCUUAGGAGGAGACAAAUAAUUUAUUUUUCUAGUAUUCUUAGUAGAAGUACAAAUGGAGAAGAAAAAAAGCAGGAUAGGAGGAGCUCAUUUGUCUUUCUAAUUAAUAUCCAACUGCUCCUGUUAGAGCAACAGCUUCUCCUAUUUGAUUCUGAGUAGCUUUGGCUAAGAGGAUGCAAACUAAAACUAUGUCCUUGUUUGUUACCAGUAACCUUAAUUUAAAAUUAAAGAAGAUAAUGAAUCUAAAAUUUAUUUUCAGAAUUCUACUAUGCAGUUGGUGGAGUUGAUUCUACUCAUAAAAACAAAGUCAAUUUUUUUCAAACGCUCUCACCAACAUAGCUGCUCUCCAUUACUGCUGAGUUGUUGAUUAUUCACAUGAACUCUCUCUUUAGCAAGAUGCAUAUUUUCUUCCACAUUUUAUGAAGUUUGAAAUUACCAGUUAUUAACAUUUAUCAAUUAACUCAUCAAUCUACUAUUAUUAAAAUAACUAUUGCUACUGAAGAGAUUUUAUAACAUAAUGAACAAACAAGCACGGACUAUCCAAUCUUUCACAACAGCAUAUUCUUUAAAAAAGGACUCCAGUUUUUCUAGAGAUGGACUUUCCAACUAGAAUUUUUUGUAUAUUUCUCGUAGCUGAUUAAGUUUUUUGACUUCACAAUGUAUGUAAUGUGCGUAGUAACUGACCUGGGAAAUAUAUUACAGAACCAGGAAAUAAAACGCAUACCUUAAUUUUGCAGAUUAGUGGGCUCAGAAAUGCUAAAAAGUUCUAGGAAAGAUUGCAAAUAGCAUUAUGAGAUGAAACCUACUUCAAUAGUUUGUCUCCUGUGAAGACCGGAAAAUAUCAUCUGCAGGAGCACAAAUAUUUCAGAAAUCUUACAGUUAUCUCAAUCUUUUCACCACAAUAGUGGUGUUGCUGUAGAAUUCAAGUUUGCAAGCAGACACUUCAAAAUUUUAUUAGAGUUUCUACUGUAUUCAGAAUUACCAAGAUUAGUGUUUUCUGGUAUAUAACAAGUGCUUUGGAAUUCUCUAAAGUGUAGAUCAAAUGUAAUAAUAAUUCUAUCAACCAUUAUAUCUUUAUGUAGUUUCUUUUUCACACAAUGAAAGCUCAUCAAAUACAUCACGAAGAACUAGUUAUAACUUAGAAAUGCUUCAUUGUGACAAAAUAUCACAGACAUAAAGAAAUAUCUAAAUACAUUUCACUGCAUAUUUUCUUGUGAAGUGGGACAAUUUGUCUCUGACAGGCUUCAGCUUUAUCAUGAGUAGUCAGGUGGGUUCACUAAAAGUAAGAUUCUUUCUUGUAGUACCAAGACUUGCUUCAGUGAGGGAGAACCUUGUUUGACUUUUUGUUCCUUAUGUUAUACUAAUUUGAAACUAUGCUCUAAUUACAGCAUUUUUCCCCCUUUCAAAUGUGAUCCCAGAUAAUAGUACCUCUGAAAGUUCUUGGCUCUCUGUCAAUUGAUUUGGCAGCUAGGUUUCUAAUAAAUCCAGAUGGAAAAAAUAAGAACUGUACUCCCCCUGAGUUUUUAAUAUGACAAUAUAAUUCUUUAAUCAGGUUAUUUAAGCAGUAAUUAAAUUUUAUUGCAAACAGUGUUAUAAUUGUGCUAUCUGAAUAGAGGAGAAUACUGAGUCUUUACAAUAUGCUUCAUGCAUAGCAUGUAUUCCCUUUAAUUUACACAUACUCACACAACUGCUCCCCACAGCUGAGGAAGCAGGUAAACUUUGUCUCACAUCUGACAUGCAAUUCUCAGAAUGUCAGUCACUUCUGAUUUUCAAGUGCUUGAAAGAAAAAAAAAUGCAAAACAUUUGGAAUCUCCUCUCUUUGGACAUAGUCGAAAUCUGAGUGGACAGCUUUGAGCAACCUGCUUUAGUUAAUCCUGUCCUGAGCAAAUGUAAGAGACUAUUCUUUUAUAUGAUUGACUCAAAGUUUGCUGAGGAACAAGUCCUGGGCAAAGGUAGAGAAAUCUUUUGUCUGGAGGACACUGAUGGACAGGUCCUGGCUAAGGGUUGUGAAAUCCUCUAAGGAGCACAGAUGGACAAGGCCAGGGGCAACGAGAGAGAGAUAAGCUGCUGCUAAUGGCCGGGAAACGGUCUUUUGUGUGGAUUUAUCUCGAGGAAGAUGGCCAUCUCAGGAGGUAUGCACAUGACUCUUGCUCAAGCACCCAGGGAUGUCACGUAGGCAGGAGAAAAUGGAGGAUAAAAGAGGGUCCAACAACCACGGCAGAUGAGAGAGGCUGAUCUCUCACCACGACAGACCAGUGAAGGGUUUCUGCCAUCAGAUCCCUCACCACGACGGACUCGAGGUUUCUGCCUUCAGAUCCUUCUCUACGGACCGUAUGCUGACGGACUUCCCUGGGCCUGCUACCUGAGACUUACUCGGCGGCUUCUUCCUGGACCCACCCGGACCACCCUGGACCACCACUCAACUGUUACAUUGGGUUGGGAAAUUAUUAAGGAAAUCACUACUAAAUGACAAAAAAUCAUCUUCCACAGCAAGUGAUUCAAGUCUCACCAACACGGAAAGGAGGCUUCUCCUGAUAUUGGGUGGGGCUGAAAAGAAAAGGUACUUGUCACCAGGAGAAGGUUCAAGAUCAACCAACUGCCUGAGCUGGUCUCCCUUUUUACCAGUUCUGUCUGGGGGAAUGCAUCAAAUCUCUCUGUCAGUUUCCAUGAAGGAGCAUCAGUGUUAGCCUCAGCUUAGGAACCUUCAUCACUGCAAAGGAGCUAUCACUGCAAAUCUGGCAGAAAAAGACGCACACAUAGGUGGGAGGAACGGAUCAAAGAGGAAGAAGCUGCUGCCAAUUUGGAAGGAUGGUAGUGUCCCUUAUAAGAGAAGUAUGUCAGUAUAGUGGGUGGUAGGCAGAGAGCAGUAGAGUUUCCUCUCAGAAAACUAGCUGGACUGAUGCAACUGGUAACUUUCCCAGUGCUCCACAUUUUAGAAUUCAGACACAGCUGCUGUGGGGAGAGCAUGCUGCUACUGUGAUAAAAUAGUCUGCACUUGCUGCUGUUCUUUGAAUAACAGAUCUCUGCUGAGCACAGAGGGGCAGUGGUAACUGAGGGUAAUCUGUAAUGAAAAGAUAACUGCCCUGUGUCCCCAGACUUCAGUAUAAAAAUGUUCUUAAUACGUCUUUCUUUGCCAAAUCAGAGGUGAUGUUUCCAUCAACCAACGUAGGAUAAUCUUCUGCAUCAGGCUUUUCAGAGAGGAAACUCUGAGAAAUCUACAGUGUAAGUAAACAAAGUAUGAAUUUUCUGCAAGCUUGCAAAGAUGUCUUCUUUUUCCAAAGCAAUAUCUUUCACUGGCAUUAGAACUGUGUUCUUUUCCAAAGCUGAUUUAAUCUGAACCUUUGACUUUCCAUUAUUCCCUUUCAUAUAUGCCCUUCUCAUUCCUUAUAUUGUUCUCAUUUCUUUUCAUAACAUUUAACUCUGACACUAAAGUCAUACUUGUUCCACGGAGAGGAUGGCCAUUUCUUCCUUUC
ensembl:lncRNA